GUAGGGAAUCUUCCACAAUGGACGAAAGUCUGAUGGAGCAACGCCGCGUGAGUGAAGUAAGGUUUUCGGAUCGUAAAGCUCUGUUGUUGGUGAAGAAGGAUAGAGGCAGUAACUGGUCUUUAUUUGACGGUAAUCAACCAGAAAGCCACGGCUAACUACGUGUCAG
rnacentral:rRNA from 1 species